GCGCCUGUAGCUCAGUUUGGAUUAGAGUAUUGGCCUACGAAGCCAAGGGUCACAGGUUCAAAUCCUGUCGGGCGCGCCA
rnacentral:tRNA from 1 species